UAACACAGCUGCAGGAGCCACCCUUUUCCAACCCACUUUCGGAGCAUUGAGGACAUGCUUUUGGAGCAGCUUGGAGAGGUGGUGAUGUGCUGCUGAAAGUGAAGGAGCUAAACGUGGCAUGGCUUUGAGCAGUCCUGGAUUCCCGAGGGUGACGGGUGCUGCUGGGACACCGGGCUGCACCCACAGAGCACUGCAGGCAGGGAGAGGUCGGGCAGAGCAUCACAGACACCUCAAAUCCCUGAGUGGAGAGAGGGGAAGCCUGCAGGAACCUCACCCCCAGAGCUAAUAGCUUUGUGUAAAUGUUAUUUGCCAGAAUUCCACAAAGUAUUUACAGCUAUUUUAUGCGCACUGAAUGUUCGCUUGCCAAGGAAUGAUGGAUUACCCCUGCUUUGAAGCUGAUUGAGAACUAUUACCGUUACCGCCUUAUCAGGCUGUUACAUAUUAGCCCAAGGUACAAGACUACAAUGCUUUCCAAGAAAGAAAACUCCUGACUCGACAGCCAAAUUCACUGCAAAAGCGAAGUGAUGGUGCAGGAGCAAAAGAAACGCGAGGAAAUUACAUGUAAUUACCGUUUCUCCAGCUCCUUUAUGCGGGGAGCAGGUGACUCAGCGUUCCCAUAGAACUACCUCCAUGGGAGAGGAGGAGCUCCGCCUCCACCUGGCAGCCGCCCGCCUUUGCUGCAGCUGUCUGCCUGCCGGACCUCCCCUUGGGGCUGCCGCUGCCGCUUAGCAGCUCAAUAGCACGCAUACCUGCGGAGUGCUCCUUCCCUGCGAAGGAGGAUUUGCCACCCGGCGUGGAAUGCUUUAAAGCAAGGUGCAAAUAUGUAAAUAAUUACCACGAGCAUCUGAGCUUUAUUUAUUUAUUUGUUUGUUUGAGUCCUCCCCCCCCCCCCCCGACUGAAUGCAUUAGUAGUCUCUAGCUGGGCUUCUGGGCCCAGCUGUGACCUACAGAGCCAAGGAAGUGAGCUUGCCCUGCUGCCUCCUAGCCCUGGAUCACCUUCUGGUUGUUGCUGACCUUCUUGGAGGACACGUUUGUGCUGGGCACCGCGACGCUGAACGUGACUGCUGCUGUCUCAGGGGACUUCCCAUCCACACAGGCACAAAGACAAGGAGUGAAAUGAGAGCAGUGAGGAAACCCAAUGCGGGCGGUUGGGGCUGGGGAGGGGGCUGAAUUCCCUGAGCCCAGGCUGGCGCUGAGGCUGUCUGAGCGAUUGUUUUUGAGUUUGGAUGUUUAGCUCUGCCUACUUAAAACUCCCCUGCUUCGCAAAGUGUGUUUCAUCUGUCGGCCUCUCUCGGAUCUAUACGUGGCAAGUCAGCAGAUACACAGCAACCCUGCUGGGGGCUGACACACCAGGGCUCAGCACUUCCAGCUGCUUUGCUGCAAUGCCUCCCCACGAGCCCACCCCGGCGGGUCCCCAGCAGGAGGCCAAUCCUGGGAACAGAGGACUGCAAGUCGGUGCCGCCGCUGCCGGUUAUCUGCCCAGCCCUGGCAUCCCGCCUCGAGAGCCCCUCCUGGGCUGCGUUGGCUGAGCAAACCCGAGAGCGGGGCAACGGUCAGAGCGACAGAAAUGACUCGCUGGGGGAGAAGUGCAGCGAGAUGGGCUCCAGGAGAGAUGAGUCACUGCCGAGCUGCACUCCAGAAACAGCUCACAGAGCCAGCUGCUGCUGUUCAGAAGAUGAACUUACUGGGCUCUGCAGGCUGGCAACAGGGGCGCGGUAGAUGAGCUUGGCUUCAGCUAUUUCAGCGCACGCAGAAGGUGGAUCCAUUUGUGCCUGGGAAGAAUGGGAAGCCGGGCAUGCAGAAGCUGUCCUGAAGCUCUGGUGGUCAGCCCGGGCAGCUCCAACGCAGGCAGCGCUCCUUAUACCGCACUUACUCGUCUGUUAAUCAUUAAACACUGAUUAGAAAAGGCAAAACAGACAAUGCCUCGAAGGUGGUUCUGACUUUGCGGCCUUCCAGUACUUGAAGGGAGCUUACAGGCAGGAGAGGGAGUGACUUUGUACAUGGUCUGAUAGCGAUAGGGCAAGGGAGAAUGGCAUUUAACUACCAGAGGGAAGAUUUAGGUUAGAUGUGAGGAGGAAAUUCUUUACUCAGAGGGCAAUGAGGCACUGACAGUGCUGCCCAGAGCUGUGGGUGUCACAACCCUGGAGGUGCCCAAGGCCAGGUUGGAUGGGCCCUGGGCAGCCUGAGCUGGUGGGGGACACCCAGCCCACAGCAGGAGCUGGGGCAGGGGUGGCUUUGGGUCCCUUCCAGCCCAAGCCAUUCUGUGAUUCUAUGAUUCUAUGUCUUUGAAAUGGCUCUGUAUCUUGCAGUGGCC
ensembl:lncRNA